rnacentral:rRNA from 1 species
UUUUAAGUUCUCUAUUAUGGAGAGUUUGAUCCUGGCUCAGGACGAACGCUGGCGGCGUGCCUAAUACAUGCAAGUCG